AUGGCAAGGAGACUGACCAGGAACCAAGGCCUAUUAUAUGCAGCCCAACCUGGAAAGCCACUUCCAGAAGACGCUCUCUCUGCUACCGGUCCUGUCUCUCUUGCUGAGGAGAGAAAUCACGGGUUAAGAACAGCAAGGACAGAUCCUGCAACAGAUCCAGAGACAUCCUGUCUGAAGGUCGUCAUCCUCCUCACAAGGUUUGUGUCAUCCGUGACGACUAGACCAUCUGCAUCACUCACAAGCAGCCAACCCACAGACUCCUAUAUUCCCAGUUGUGCUGAAGAGGGCUACUUCAAGCCAACCCAGUGUCACUGCAGCACCUGCCAAUGUUGGUGUGUGGACAAAUGACACCAACAGAACUGAAUGAAUCCAGAAAACGAGCAAGGCUACAAGACUGAAUUGAGCUUAGUGUAACAAAAAGAUCACAGAAUAUAAAACUCACAGAUUUGUUUAAAGAUGCAAAGAUGAUUUGUCAUAUAUUUGUUGUUUUUUAAAUCAAAUUAUGUGAUAUAUUAUUCAAAUGUGCAAUCAUCAAAUCGAAAAAAAAACACCACUUUUCCUGUGCCUUAAAAAUAAACAUACAGUAUUAUCAGUGAAUUAACAAAUCAACUGUUGGAUUCUGGGAAUACUCCUGUCUACGCAAAAUAUGUCGGUCUCUCUCAGAGUUAGCUCUUUGAACUAGGUAGAGUGCUGUGAGACUGUCAUCUUUCUGCUUGUGUAAUCUGGACUGCUGGAGACAGCCUGCAGAGCUUCUCUUUAAACAUUACACUGAAACAUAGUGAACAUCACGGUUACAAGUGAACUCUCUUUUAAAGGCAUGUCACAAAGUAAUAUGUGGGUGGCACAGAGGACACUGACUAUUUAAAGGUCUCCUAAGCAUUUUAGACCACGAAAAGGCCCCAAAGACUGCGAAACAAACUCACAAGAACGAUCCUAUGUACAGUAUACUGUACAUGAACUAGAUCUUGGUCAUGUCAUGCAAACAUUUUUGAAUGUAAGUUCAGUGAGUUUUUCCAAUAUUUUAUCUGUCAACUUCUGAAAAGAAAACAGGGUCUUUUUGCCUAAAUGAACUUUUAUCUGCUAGCCAUACAUUUACUCUGCUUCUUCACAGUGUCAUGCUGUGUACCUAGCAUUUUAUCUGCUUGUGGGUGGGAGAAUUGGGUUUUUAACUGUGGGGACAUUGUGCUAGGGAAACUGUGAGACUGGCUGCACAUUACAAGGAGUAGUUGGAUUCAGUGUUAAAUAUAUAAAGUAUAUAUAUAGUGGGGAUUCGCUUGUUUAGCAAUAUGCUAAUUUACAGUUACAGUUCAGGCCUUAAAGUAUAUUAAAUCUUUUAUUAAUAGAAAAAUAUCUCUGGGGUAAACAAAACCAUGGGAAUACUUUACACUAUAAUGCAAUUUAAUACAUAAUAGCCUAGAAGAAUUCUAAUGUUUUUCUUUUCAUUAUGUCAUAGAAGUUGAUAUUUUAAGACUAUAGAUAUUUGCAGUUCUUUUAUGUUGUAUUGCAUUUAAUUCUUAGGUGUUUCUGUUAUUUUCUCUACUCCUGUACGUGUGGGGGUUUGUUUGGUUUUCUUUUUGUGUCUGAGCAUGGUAGGUAAGCUCAAUGCAACAGUAUCAGUCACAUCAGACAUAGACAGAUAUCAACAUCACAUAACACACAAUGAUUGGAACAGCGGGCACAAUGACAUUCUCCAUGCUGACCAAGAAAAGAAGUCAUCUCAGAAUGAGUGAGGCAAUCAGAAAUGAGCCUGACCCACACCCGAGGAGCCAUUGAGGACAAUGAAGACCUGGAGAGGAAGGAUGAAACUGAAUAUUUUUGGUAUCUCUGCCCUAUGGACUCUGAUAUCAGCCAAACAGGGACCUGUGUUCUCUCAGCGCAGAGUUGAAGCCAUUUCAGUGGGUCCACAAACGUAAGGGUGCUAAAUAAUUACAGAACAGCCUAUGUUAUGUUCCAACAGAAACUGCUGUCUGUUACCUCUCAACCCUGCUAUAACAUAAAAUAUGAUGUGACAUGGACACUUUUACCGCUCUGCCUUUAUUUAUCAUUUUUUUCUGUUUCCUCUCUAUGUCUGUGUUAUAGUUAGGCCAAGAUAUUAUCUUACUGUACAUAGGCUACUGUAUGUUCACCACUGGCCUCCUUUUAGGGGUCUACAGUGUAGAUGCAUCACUGUCAUACUCCCAGGCUCAGAGAUGCAUGAUUUUCUCAUAUUUGGGAUCUUGAAUGAUGGAGAAACAGAAAGAUUUAAGAUGCACUUUCUUUACAUUUGCAUGGUCAGGUGAAGUUGUACAUACAUCUUGCACAACACAGAAGGAUAAUAAUUGAUGGUGAUCAUGUUGAUAUUUUUGCUGCUUCAGUCGAUUGUGGCUCACAGUGCAUCAUAUGGUGCUUCUUUUUGUCCAAAGCUCAUGGUGUAUGUCUUGACCGAUAUAUGUUGCUACCUUUAUUGCGUUGUGAGAAAUAUUCGACAAAGUCAAAAUAACCCCAAUUUACGCCCUGGCUGAAGUCUUUAUAAAUCACCAAAUUUGACCUCUUUAAAAACCUUAAAAAGAAGAGAAAUAACAGUGUGUUUAGCUGUCGUUUUUGGAUAUAGAGACACAAAAUCAUUAAGCAUCACAAGUGACAGAAGAGAAUCUGAAAGAGUAACAAGGAUUGUUUGAAGAAGUCUGAUACUUGUUUAACUGAACAAGUUCACAUCUCUCUGGAGUCUGCUCCUCCUGAUGUGCUAAAAGAGUCUUAAUCAUAUUUUCACAUUUCGCUCAGGUGAAUAACAACAUUCAUCUCUGUUGGUUGUAAAAAGCAUUGUAUUAAGCUUGUAUCUAAUUCAGUACACAAGUGUUUAUUCUCUUCCACUCUAAUAAACAAUUUAUUUUAUAGGCCAUGGUUUAUCUUUCAUUAAAGAAAAAGCACCAUCUUUAGCAGUGUCUUUGUUUCUAAGUUCAUGUUAAGUUCACAGUGAUGUGUCUGCUAAUAGAUGCAUUUGAAUCAGUAUCUCAUCAUUAUUAAUACUGGCUGAAAAAGUAUUGAAAUAUUUGUUUGAGUCGAAUUACUGUUAGCAGUGGGUUGUUCACUAAUUGCAGGGUUAGUGGUUCAAUUUCUGUUUUCUCCUGAACGACAUGUUGAGACAAAGUGUCCUUGAGCAAGAUACUAAAACCCAAAUUGCUGCAAAUGGCUAGGGUUUCCCAUUGUGGGAAUGGGUGAUUGAAUGGUUGAAUGAGAGGCAAAUUGUAGUGCUUAUAUAUGCUUAUAAAGCACUAUAUAAACACAGGCCCUCUUCAAGCAUGCUUGUUUAAUCAAAUUAGAGGAAUAGCCUGCUACAAAAAUGAAUCGUUUGUUCCCGUCAUAAAUUAGCUGAUUAAUGGCAACAAUAUUGCCGGUAUUUAAAUAUAAUAGUAGCUACGAGGGAUGGUAAACUACAACUUCUGCUAGUCACGUAGAAUUUCAGUUCUCCUAAAAAAAAAAAUAAUCAUGAAGUCAUAAAUAAGUAUAAAAGCUUCAUAAAGAAAGUCAAAAAGCUUCUUAAAUAAAACAGAAACAAUAUUGCCCACUUUAUACCUUCUCUAUCUAUCUCUUCCUAUGGACCAUCGUCUCUUCUUCACUCAAUCUUCACCUCCAACCAAAGCUCACUGACAUCUUUUACAAGGCGCUCUCCUUUCACCGACUCAUUUCCAUCGAUUUCUCUUUUGUAUUUUUAAAUGUAAGAUAUUGAUUUACCCAUUUAAGAGGCAAAUACAACAAAUGGACAUAACCUAAAUUCCUCGCUGUUAUGUUUCAUUUUGUCUUCUCUCAACCUCACAGUCGGACUGAAGUGAUGCUAACUGGGGCUAUAAGCACACGUGGAUGUAAACAAACACAAAAACAUCUUACACUAAAUGGCCACAUUUGUUUUUUUCUUACUUUUAUUGACUACUUUGUAAAGAAAUCUCACUGUAGAGAAGUUCUGUACUGUAUUGUAGCACUACUACUCUGUAGUGAAUAUGUUUUCCAGACAAUUUUGAAAUUCUAAUGAAAUGCUGAUAUUAUGAGCUAAACACAUUUUGUUUUUAAUGUGACACUUCCACAAUGUUUGUCUGAAUAAAUCUAAGUCUCCCU
rnacentral:lncRNA from 15 species